UACGAAGGGAGCUAGCGUUGUUCGGAAUCACUGGGCGUAAAGCGCACGUAGGCGGAUGUGUCAGUCAGGGGUGAAAUCCCGGAGCUCAACUUCGGAACUGCCUUUGAUACAGCACGUCUUGAGUCCGAUAGAGGUGGGUGGAAUUCCUAGUGUAGAGGUGAAAUUCGUAGAUAUUAGGAAGAACACCGGUGGCGAAGGCGGCCCACUGGAUCGGUACUGACGCUGAGGUGCGAAAGCGUGGGGGGAGCAAACAGG
rnacentral:rRNA from 1 species